rnacentral:rRNA from 1 species
CGUAGGAUCCGAGCGUUGUCCGGAUUUACUGGGUGUAAAGGGUGCGCAGGCGGACUGGUAAGUCAGUGGUGAAAUCUCGUCGCUUAACGACGAAACUGCCUUUGAUACUAUCAGUCUUGAGUCCGGUAGAGAUCUGUGGAAUUCCGAGUGUAGCAGUGAAAUGUGUAGAUAUUCGGAAGAACACCAGUGGCGAAGGCAGCAGAUUGGGCCGGUACUGACGCUCAUGCACGAAAGCGUGGGGAUCAAACAGGAUUAGAUACCCUGGUAGUCCACGCCCUAACCGAUGUACACUUGAUGUCGGCCUGUAAGGGUCGGUGUCGGAGCUAACGCGUUAAGUGUACCACCUGGGAGUACGCUCGCAAGGGUG